UACGAAGGGGGCUAGCGUUGCUCGGAAUUACUGGGCGUAAAGGGCGCGUAGGCGGCACUGUUAGUCAGGCGUGAAAGUCCUGGGCUCAACCUGGGAACUGCGCUUGAUACGGCAGAGCUAGAGGAUGGAAGGGGCUCGCGGAAUUCCCAGUGUAGAGGUGAAAUGCGCAGAUAUCAGGAGGAACACCGGUGGCGAAAGGCGGGGUCUCUGGGGCCGAAACUGACGCUGAGGAGCGAAAAGCGUGGGGGAGCGAACAGG
rnacentral:rRNA from 1 species